rnacentral:lncRNA from 10 species
GAUACUGUACAACCAAAGAAAUAAUGGGAAAACGCUGUAAUCUCCUAGACCACACUUCCCAGCCUCCCGUGCAGCUGGAUGUGGUCAUGUGACUGACUUCCAGCCAAUGGAACGGGAGCAUGAAAGCCUUCUGUGCAUGACCCUUUCUUUAUUCCCCAUCUGUCUGCUCAAGGUCAAUGUGCAUCGGGAUGAUCUUGGGUGACCUUGGAAGCUACAUGAUGAAGGUGGCAGAGCUUCUCUCAGCCUGGGUCUCUGAAUGACUGGUUUGAGCUGAUAUCCCCA